GUGUUGCACAAGGAACACCGAGAACACGGGUGACGCGGGUAACACAGGGAACAUCUGGAACACAGGUAACACACAGGAGGACACAACUCACCACGAACUACAAUGAUCCGACAAGGAACAAAGGAAAGACAAGGGCUUGAAUACCAAACACACACAGGGCACGCAACAAGUAACAGCUGAAACACAUUAGCGGAGGGAGCAGUAAUCACACAGGAGGGAAACUUGACCGGACAUGGGGAGAAACAAGACAGAGAUACCAAAGUAAAACAGGACCGGCCCGGCCCAGCCAUGUCACACAGCCAAAGGCCGAGAGCCGGUUCUUAAGGUGCCCCCUGUGAGGACAACGCAGUGUCUGGGGGGGGUGACGGAGGCAGUGCGGCCACCUGGGGCCCGAGCGGAUCAGAGGAAAAGGGAGUCUUCGUUGAAGAAAUCCAGACGGGCACUAUCAUAGAUGUGCUCCCACCAUCACCUCUAUCUACACAGCAAGACAGGGAAGAUGUUUUCUCCUCAACCUGCCAAACAUUUGGAACUCUAUCUGCUGGUGGACGGUCUUCAUGUAGUGCCGUUGGAUGAUGUUUCUUACAUAUUUUACAGGCUUACUGGCAAACGUCUGGCAUUUGUGGAUGGAAUGACCUUCACCACAGCAUGUGCAUUUGAUUGAGUAGGAGGAUGUGUUUGACACAUUAUUUUCAUUAAAGCUGUUCUUUUGGGCACCAUCUGUUGCUUUGAUGUCUGUGAUAAAUGCAUUAGCCUGUGGAUGCUAAGUAUCUCGAGAGGGCCUUUUCUUCCACAUGUUUUAAAGCGUUAAGUGAUGUCAUAGCUAACAAUUUCUGCUUCCUGCACCAUGAACUCAGCAAAUUCUUUAAAUGUAGGAUAUUCUUCUCUUUGUUGUAGUUGCUUUGUUAUGUGACGAUUCCAACGAGAUGCAAUCCAAUCUGGAAGCUUUUGAAGCAUUUUCUGAUUUGCCUCGCAAUCGUUCAGCACCUGCAAUCCCUUCACAUGUGGCAUGGCUUUGCUGCAUGCUGACAAGAAGU
ensembl:lncRNA